AACGAACGCUGGCGGCAGGCUUAACACAUGCAAGUCGAACGCCCCGCAAGGGGAGUGGCAGACGGGUGAGUAACGCGUGGGAACGUACCUUUCAGUUCGGAAUAACUCGGGGAAACUUGUGCUAAUACCGGAUACGCUCGUAAGAGGAAAGAUUUAUCGCUGAAAGAUCGGCCCGCGUUGGAUUAGCUAGUUGGUGGGGUAAUGGCCUACCAAGGCGACGAUCCAUAGCUGGUCUGAGAGGAUGAUCAGCCACACUGGGACUGAGACACGGCCCAGACUCCUACGGGAGGCAGCAGUGGGGAAUAUUGGACAAUGGGCGAAAGCCUGAUCCAGCCAUGCCGCGUGAGUGAUGAAGGCCCUAGGGUUGUAAAGCUCUUUCACCGAUGAAGAUAAUGACGGUAGUCGGAGAAGAAGCCCCGGCUAACUUCGUGCCAGCCGCCGCAGUAA
rnacentral:rRNA from 1 species